rnacentral:rRNA from 1 species
UACGGAGGGUGCAAACGUUGCUCGGAAUCAUUGGGCGUAAAGCGCACGUAGGCGGACUGUUAAGUCGGAUGUGAAAUCCCUCAGCUUAACUGAGGAAGUGCACUCGAAACUGGCAGUCUUGAGUAUGGAAGGGGGUCGCGGAAUUCCCGGUGUAGAGGUGAAAUUCGUAGAUAUCGGGAGGAACACCAGUGGCGAAGGCGGCGAUCUGGGAAGAUACUGACGCUGAGGUGCGAAAGCGUGGGGAGCAAACAGG